rnacentral:piRNA from 1 species
UAAAAUAAGGUUAAUGUGACGUGGAUGUUA